rnacentral:lncRNA from 1 species
GUCAGACGGAGCAUUGCAUGUCUCGGAAAUAGCUGUUGCAUCAUGUGCUCUGGACGCGAAGGUGGUGCGUCGUAGCGGCUUGCUUUAGUUGCGAGCAAGGGCUGAACCCGUGAAGUACAAGACAGAACACAUUCGUUCGAGAUGACGUAACCAAAAGAGACGAGGGAGAUGUGAGCAGCAAUACACGCAGUUGACAUCACAUUUGUUUCAAGAGAACCAAGAGCCAAGACGGAAUCACCGAGUCCAAAUUACCUGUUGGAGUACAUCUGCCCUCAAGCUGUUGUGAUUUUUUUUUUUUUUUUCUCCGCUGAAUGUCAAUUUUUAUUUUUAUUUUAAAGAAAAUUGGAUAAGUAUGGGAGGAAGUUAAGGAAGUUCAGUUGAAAGUUAAGAUGAAAAUGGCUGCAAGGAUUUUUUUUAUUUUUUUUAUUUUUACGGUUUUGUAGAAAGUGGAAAGAAAGAAAGAUUAGUAAGAGAAUUACAUAUUACUGCUAGGAAUAUUGUUUUAUAUUUUGAAGGAAAUUAAAUAGAUAAUAAGAGGGUUUAAAGAUGUUAAGUUAGGAGCUAGGCAAUAAAUUAUUGAUAGGAAUGUUACUCUUCCCUGUGAAGAAAAUGUGACAUGUAUAGAAAAGUUAACUUAGAAGGUAGAUUAGGAGCUGAUUGAUGAAUCACUGGUAUCAAUAUUAUCUCUUUUGGUCAAACAAUAUCGUUACAUAAACAAGAUAAAGGGGUUAAGUUCGUUAGACCAACUUUUUUUUUUAUUGAACGGGAAAUUUUUCUUCCUGUAGUUCGUCGGGUACGCUGUCUGUGUGACCACCAAAACAAUUGUGCGGUUCCUCCAUGCAGCGCUCAAGCGUCCGUUCGUUCGGCCUUGAAACAUCGAUGACUCAACCACAAACUGGCGGACGGGACGGAGCGGCUGCGGACCAACGGCGGCGCGGGGUCCCUCCGUAAAAGCGUCCGCGGCUGCGAGCGUUUGCCGUCUUUGUUUUGGAGGCAGGAGGAAAGCCGCUUGGGUGUGUGUAACUGUCCUUAUCUGUCUGCUUUUCUGUCGUUUAAUUUUCGGGUACGCUUAAACAAAACACGCAAGCAAAACAGAUAACACACACACACACACACACACACACACACACACACACACACACACACACA